rnacentral:tRNA from 2 species
AGCUUUAUAUUCAAAUUAAUGAUAUAAAAUUGCAAAUUUUAAGUUAUAAUAACUAUUAUUAUUAAGGCUU